UUCAGAGCUGUAUGUCUGAAUGAGAACGGAAUGUCUGUCUGUCUGUUCCAGGUGUGUCAGCGAUGACGUCGUCCCCAACAGGUUGUUGGUUUCAGUCUUCAGCAGCUGCCGUCAGCUGAUUGGCUGUAUGAGCUUUGGGAUUGGUUCCUCUCAGCUCAUCUCCGGUUGGUUCUACCUGCUGGGGGAAGAGUUUGGGCGGAGCAAACACCUGAGAGUGACAUCACAGCGGAACAAGCCAAUGAGGAGCCCGGAGGACGGUCCAGUACGCUGCGCAGAACUCAGAAGCACUCCAGACCCGGCUCCAGAAACCAACGUGAACCGCACCGCUGCCCCGCUGAACCACAGCGCCGCCCUGAACCGCAGCACCACUGGACCGAGAGACCGAACGAGCCCCGGCCUCACUCUCUCCAGAACCAACACCAAAACCAGCAGCUUCGGCGUCGGUCCGGCCAGCAGCGUCCACAGCCGCUGCGUCUCUACACAAAAAGCCGACUCCACCCAGCGCCAGGUGACCCGGGACAGUGGCAACACCCGCCGGCUGACUGUGAG
rnacentral:lncRNA from 1 species